rnacentral:rRNA from 1 species
CCUACGGGUGGCAGCAGUGAGGAAUAUUGGUCAAUGGACGAGAGUCUGAACCAGCCAAGUAGCGUGAAGGAUGACUGCCCUAUGGGUUGUAAACUUCUUUUAUAAAGGAAUAAAACGAGGCACGUGUGCCUUUUUGCAUGUCCUUUAUGAAUAAGGCUCGGCUAACUCCGUGCCAGCAGCCGCGGUAAUACGGAGGAUCCGAGCGUUAUCCGGAUUUAUUGGGUUUAAAGGGAGCGUAGAUGGGUUGUUAAGUCAGUUGUGAAAGUUUGCGGCUCAACCGUAAAAUUGCAAUUGAUACUGGCAGUCUUGAGUACAGUUGAGGGAGGCGGAAUUCGUGGUGUAGCGGUGAAAUGCUUAGAUAUCACGAAGAACCCCGAUUGCGAAGGCAGCUUACUAAACUGUGACUGACAUUGAUGCUCGAAAGUGUGGGUAGCAAACAGGAUUAGAUACCCGAGUAGUC